rnacentral:rRNA from 1 species
GUGGGGAAUUUUGGACAAUGGGCGCAAGCCUGAUCCAGCAAUGCCGCGUGCAGGAAGAAGGCCUUCGGGUUGUAAACUGCUUUUGUACGGAACGAAACGGUCCGGGUUAAUACCCUGGGCUAAUGACGGUACCGUAAGAAUAAGCACCGGCUAACUACGUGCCAGCAGCCGCGGUAAUACGUAGGGUGCAAGCGUUAAUCGGAAUUACUGGGCGUAAAGCGAGCGCAGGCGGUUUUGUAAGACAGGCGUGAAAUCCCCGGGCCCAACCUGGGAAUUGCGCUUGUGACUGCAAGGCUGGAGUGCGGCAGAGGGGGAUGGAAUUCCGCGUGUAGCAGUGAAAUGCGUAGAGAUGCGGAGGAACACCGAUGGCGAAGGCAGCCUCCUGGGAUAACACUGACGCUCAGGCACGAAAGCGUGGGGAGUAAACAGGAUUAGAAACCCCGGUAGUCC